UGGCAGGUAGUUUAACAGUAGAACGCCUAAAACAUCCUUGUUCACACCUUGCCCGAAAGGGACGACGAAUGAGGGUUAUCGCCUUCUAAGCGGGUGAUGUGGGUGCAACUCCCACCCUGCCAA
rnacentral:tRNA from 2 species